rnacentral:rRNA from 1 species
UACAGAGGGUGCAAGCGUUAAUCGGAAUUACUGGGCGUAAAGCGUGCGUAGUCGGUUAUUUAAGUCGGGCGUGAAAAUCCCCGGGCUCAACCUGGGAAUUGCAUUUGUGACUGUAUAGCUAGAGUACGGUAGAGGGGGAUGGAAUUCCGCGUGUAGCAGUGAAAUGCGUAGAUAUGCGGAGGAACACCGAUGGCGAAGGCAAUCCCCUGGACCUGUACUGACGCUCAUGCACGAAAGCGUGGGGAGCAAACGAGG